CUACACAUGCAGUCGAACGAUGAACCACCUUCGGGUGGGGAUUAGUGGCGAACGGGUGAGUAACACGUGGGCAAUCUGCCCUGCACUCUGGGACAAGCCCUGGAAACGGGGUCUAAUACCGGAUACUGACCUGCCAAGGCAUCUUGGCGGGUCGAAAGCUCCGGCGGUGCAGGAUGAGCCCGCGGCCUAUCAGCUUGUUGGUGAGGUAAUGGCUCACCAAGGCGACGACGGGUAGCCGGCCUGAGAGGGCGACCGGCCACACUGGGACUGAGACACGGCCCAGACUCCUACGGGAGGCAGCAGUGGGGAAUAUUGCACAAUGGGCGAAAGCCUGAUGCAGCGACGCCGCGUGAGGGAUGACGGCCUUCGGGUUGUAAACCUCUUUCAGCAGGGAAGAAGCGAAAGUGACGGUACCUGCAGAAGAAGCGCCGGCUAACUACGUGCCAGCAGCCGCGGUAAUACGUAGGGCGCAAGCGUUGUCCGGAAUUAUUGGGCGUAAAGAGCUCGUAGGCGGCUUGUCGCGUCGGUUGUGAAAGCCCGGGGCUUAACCCCGGGUCUGCAGUCGAUACGGGCAGGCUAGAGUUCGGUAGGGGAGAUCGGAAUUCCUGGUGUAGCGGUGAAAUGCGCAGAUAUCAGGAGGAACACCGGUGGCGAAGGCGGAUCUCUGGGCCGAUACUGACGCUGAGGAGCGAAAGCGUGGGGAGCGAACAGGAUUAGAUACCCUGGUAGUCCACGCCGUAAACGGUGGGC
rnacentral:rRNA from 1 species